rnacentral:rRNA from 1 species
GAGUAAAGUGGCGAACGGGUGCGUAACACGUGGGUAAUCUUCCUCGAAGUCGGGGAUAACCUUCCUAACGGGGGGCUAAUACCGGAUGUGUUUACUGGCAGGCAUCUGCCGGUGAAUGAAGAUGGCGUGCUGAGCGCUAUCGCUUUGAGAUGAGCCCGCGGCCUAUUAGCUAGUUGGUAGGGUAACGGCCUACCAAGGCGACAAUGGGUAGCCGGCCUGAGAGGGUGUCCGGCCACAUUGGGACUGAGAUACGGCCCAGACUCCUACGGGAGGCAGCAGUAGGGAAUAUUGCGCAAUGGGCGAAAGCUUGACGCAGCAACACCGUGUGAGUGAUGAAGGCCUUCGGGUCGUAAAGCUCUGUCAGGUGGGAAGAAACCUGGCUGGUUAAGAACGCCGGCCAGCUGACGGUACCACCAGAGGAAGCUCCGGCUAACUCCGUGCCAGCAGCCGCGGUAAUACGGAGGGAGCGAGCGUUGUUCGGAAUUACUGGGCGUAAAGGGCGUGUAGGCGGUUUGGUAAGUCAGAUGUGAAAUCCAAUGGCUCAACCAUUUGAACUGCAUCUGAUACUGUCAAACUUGAGAGCAGUAGAGGAGAGCGGAAUUCCCAGUGUAGCGGUGGAAUGCGUAGAUAUUGGGAAGAACACCAGUGGCGAAGGCGGCUCUCUGGACUGGUUCUGACGCUGAGGCGCGAAAGCUAGGGGAGCAAACAGGAUUAGAUACCCUGGUAGUCCUAGCCGUAAACGAUGGGUACUAGG